ensembl:lncRNA
CUGCCUGUGGAUUAAGGGAAAAUGGAUUUGGGGUGGAUGUUUGCUGCAGGGGGCCAGGACUGUUAUUCCUUUGGAUGAAGCCUCCUUGCAUCAGGCACUGCAUUCAGUCCAACCCCACGGCAAUCCCUCAUCCUCCAGGCAUCCACGUGCUAUCAGUAAUGUUACCAUGAGGAAAUCCUUCCUUCUCCAACACCAUGGCAGUCCCUUCCUGUUAUGGGGGAACUCACAGAUAAUGCUGCCCUGCAAAAGGAGUUCCCCAAGUUCCCAAAUGCUCUCAAUCGUCCCCUCCCAGCCUUACUUCUCACCUUCGGCAUCUCUCCCGGCAGGCACCUGUAAGAAAAACAGUCUCACAUCAAAGCUGUGGCAGCCUCAUGGAUCCCCCACAGUCCCCUCAAGUCCUCACCUUUCCUAAUGGUCCAGAAGGUGGCUGCAGACAGCAGGAGGGUGACAGUAACUGAUACCACAUGAAUGACUGUGAGGUUCAGAGGAGUGUUGGUGUCUGGGGACACAGAGGGUGAUGGGGUCAGAUGGGAGUGACGCAGAAGUUGGGGUGUAACAGCGCCAUAGCGAUGAGAUGAUAAAAGAGGAGAGGGAUAGGGAAAAGGUGAAGGGAUGGGGUCAGUAGGAGCAAAGGAGAGUCCCUCACCUGCAGUUACGGUUCCUGCCGUGGAAUUGGACACACGACCUGGACAGAUAUAUGGAUGGGCUGAGUGUCACCAGUGCUCAUAGCUCUGCAUGGUCAGAGUUUCUGAAUGCACUGGUUCGGGGCAGGGUAUGUAGGCCUUGGAAGAUGCCCACAGAGCCAGCUCUGUCCCCUGAGACACGUGGGCUGA